rnacentral:rRNA from 1 species
CACGUAGUUAGCCGUGGCUUUCUGAUUAGGUACCGUCAAGACGUGCACAGUUACUUACACAUUUGUUCUUCCCUAAUAACAGAGUUUUACGAUCCGAAGACCUUCAUCACUCACGCGGCGUUGCUCCGUCAGGCCUUCGCCCAUUGCGGAAGAUUCCCUACUGCUGCCUCCCGUAGGAGUCUGGACCGUGUCUCAGUUCCAGUGUGGCCGAUCACCCUCUCAGGUCGGCUACGUAUCGUUGCCUUGGUAAGCCAUUACCCCACCAACUAGCUAAUACGGCGCGGGUCCAUCUAUAAGUGAUAGUAAAACCAUCUUUCACUUUAGAACCAUGCGGUUCUAAAUAUUAUCCGGCAUUAGCCCCGGUUUCCCGGAGUUAUUCCAGUCUUAUAGGUAGGUUACCCACGUGUUACUCACCCGUCCGCCGCUAACGUCAAAGGAGCAAGCUCCUUAUCUGUUCGCUCGACUUGCAUGUAUUAGGCACGCCGCCAGCGUUCAUCCUGAGCCAGGAUCAAACUCU